UACGUAGGGUGCAAGCGUUGUCCGGCAUUAUUGGGCGUAAAGAGCUCGUAGGCGGUUUGUCGCGUCUGCUGUGAAAACUCGGGGCUUAACCCCGGGCCUGCAGUGGGUACGGGCAGACUAGAGUGCGGUAGGGGAGACUGGAAUUCCUGGUGUAGCGGUGAAAUGCGCAGAUAUCAGGAGGAACACCGGUGGCGAAGGCGGGUCUCUGGGCCGUAACUGACGCUGAGGAGCGAAAGCGUGGGGAGCGAACAGG
rnacentral:rRNA from 1 species